AUGACAUAGUAAGAAUUGAACUUACAUAAUAAUAUUCGUAAUAUUAUACACUAACCAUUAUGUUAUAUGUCA
rnacentral:tRNA from 1 species